rnacentral:ncRNA from 1 species
AAAUAUUAUAGGCACACCUAUUGAAAAAUAGGGUCGCAAAACUUGAGUCUAAGGCAUAUGCUAUGACCGUUCAGUUGCAAAA